GGAUGGGUGGCCGAGUGGUUGAAGGCACCGGUCUUGAAAACCGGCAAGGGUUCAUAGCCCUUCGUGGGUUCGAAUCCCACCCCAUCCGCCA
rnacentral:tRNA from 2 species